rnacentral:rRNA from 1 species
GACGAACGCUGGCGGCGUGCUUAACACAUGCCAGUCGAACGGAAAGGCCCUGCUUUUGUGGGGUGCUCGAGUGGCGAACGGGUGAGUAACACGUGAGUAACCUGCCCUUGACUUUGGGAUAACUCCAGGAAACUGGGGCUAAUACCGGAUAGGAGCUCCUGCUGCAUGGUGGGGGUUGGAAAGUUUCGGCGGUUGGGGAUGGACUCGCGGCUUAUCAGCUUGUUGGUGGGGUAGUGGCUUACCAAGGCUUUGACGGGUAGCCGGCCUGAGAGGGGGACCGGCCACAUUGGGACUGAGAUACGGCCCAGACUCCUACGGGACGCAGCAGUGGGGAAUAUUGCACAAUGGGCGGAAGCCUGAUGCAGCAACGCCGCGUGCGGGAUGACGGCCUUCGGGUUGUAAACCGCUUUCGCCUGUGACGAAGCGUGAGUGACGGUAAUGGGUAAAGAAGCACCGGCUAACUACGUG